rnacentral:rRNA from 1 species
UAAGGAAUAUUGCUCAAUGGGAGAAAUCCUGAAGCAGCAACGCCGCGUGGAGGAUGAAGGGUCUAUGACUUGUAAACUCCUGUAAAGAAGGAAAAAAUUCCCAUUAGAUGGGAGAUGAUGGUACUUCUGGAGUAAGCCCCGGCUAACUACGUGCCAGCAGCCGCGGUAAUACGUAGGGGGCAAGCGUUGUCCGGAUUUACUGGGUGUAAAGGGUGCUCAGGCGGAUUUGUAAGUCAGAGGUGAAAUCUUACAGCUUAACUGUGAAGCUGCCUUUGAUACUGCAAGCCUAGAGUAUGGAAUAUAGAGAUGGAAUAUCUGGUGUGGCAGUGAGAUGCGUAGAUAUCAGAUAGAACACCAAUGGCGAAGGCAGUCACUUGGUCCAUUACUGACGCUAAAGCACGAAAGCGUGGGUAGCAAACA